GGAUUAGAUACCCUGGUAGUCCACGCCGUAAACGAUGUCUACUAGCCGUUGGGAGGCUUGACCUUUUAGUGGCGCAGCUAACGCGAUAAGUAGACCGCCUGGGGAGUACGGUCGCAAGAUUAAAACUCAAAUGAAUUGACGGGGGCCCGCACAAGCGGUGGAGCAUGUGGUUUAAUUCGAUGCAACGCGAAAAACCUUACCAGGCCUUGACAUCCAGAGAACUUACCAGAGAUGGUUUGGUGCCUUCGGGAACUCUGUGACAGGUGUUGCAUGGCUGUCGUCAGCUCGUGUUG
rnacentral:rRNA from 1 species